AGCUGACGGGCGGGCCCUUCCGGAGGCGCCGCGCCUGGACCGUGGCCGCAGGUUGGGCAGCGCCAGACGCAGAGCCCUGUGCCGCUUGCGUCCCCGGGCUUCCUGCCCGACAAGGACGGGGGGCCGGACAGAGAGCCGUGUCGGCCGAGACCCGAAUCCGGGAUCAGGUUUGUGUUUCUGUGGACACGUCUGCCCACAAAGAGGGCAGUGGGCAAUUGUUCUCUUCACCAGAGAAUGGUUUUUGUCAACGUUCAGUGAGAUCAUUUCACCAGUGAGGUGGCCACAGCGGCGCUUUCUCUACCCAAACCUCGCUUCCUCUCGCUGAAGGGGUUCCAGUCUCGAUCAUCAGUGAAGUCCUUCCACAUCCAUGGGGCGUCCACCAACUAGGAGCUUAAUCAACACAACGCUGUGGCCUCUCCAGCUCAGGGACGUGCCUUUCCCGUGUCUUCUUCUCACACACAAACGUAGCCUGCAAGGAAGGUCAGGUUCAAUGCACGGAAUCUACCCUGCUGCCCGCUAGGAGGUCAUAUGUGUAUCACAGACCCGCAGAGAAUGCUCUCCACAGUACAUGAAGCGCGGUACAAAUGGAAUGAGUGUAACGGGCAUUCUCUGUUUGAAAAAAGUUAUCCCAAUUGAAUAGUCGGUAAUUUCUCUUUAUUGUAACCCAAUAGAUCACAAAAUGCAACCUGAGGUUUAAGCUGAGGGGUGGGGCGUUUGCAGAGGGCUGUGUGGUGGAGGUUAGGUUAGGUUUGCAGACGGCUGUGUGGUGGAGGUUAGGUUAGGUUUGCAGAGGACUGUGUGGUGGAGGUUAGGUUAGGUUUACAGAGGGCUGUGUAGUGUGGAGGUUAGGUUAGGUUUGCAGAGGGCUGUGGUGGAGGUUAGGGUCGGUUUGCAGAAGGCUGUGGUGGAGGGUAGGUCACGUUUGUAGAGGGCUGUGUAAUGGAGGUUACGUUAGGUUUACAGAAGGCUGUGUGGUGGAGGUGGGGCCUUCUCCCUGCCCCACGGUGGUCCCAUGCAGCCCGCAAAACACCCAUGUUCGGCACGGGUCCAGUGACCUCAGCAGGGAGGCAGCUCCCUGAUUACAAGACCAACUUUUGUUCUUGGACCAAAGCUGAUUUUGCCUUCUCUGUAGGAUGAUUGCGCAAAAGGUCACCAGAGUCAUUCUGAAAGCAGCAGGAGUUCUGAGGCUUCUGUUCGCUCCAAUUUACUUAACAAAGGGCAUUCAGGUGGAUUUGUUCAGGCUGUGCUUUAUGAUUCUCUGAAAAUUAAAAAUCCUUCCUGUGAUGUAACCAUGUGGCAGACGGAGAAUCUGCCUCAAUGUAGGAGUUAAAGAUUUGAACUCCAAGUUCAUUUCUGAGUCGUUUGGAUUCUGUAAUUAUUCAUCCUUUUUGACUUUGUUUUACUUUGCAUUAUCAAAAUGCAUAAAGUGGAGACUGGACGGUGGAAAUCCUGCAGGGCACCGAGGCACCUAACGUCAAGGCUUCAGUCCGAAUCGGUCCAAGCAGAGGCCACUCAGGAAAGCAACUGUGCGUGGGACUCCGGUGCCGCACGGCCUGGCACUUCGUCUUCCGUGACUCGCCUGUUUCACGAGUGGGAUCCCAAGCCCAAUACGACAGCCAGGGCAUUGUCCUCACUGACAGCAGGUGGUCGAUCUCAAGCCCAAUACCACAGCCGGGGCGCUGUCCUCACUGACAGCAGGUGGUCACUGGGGAGCAUGCUACUGAGGUGCUGUUCAUCUCCAGGAAAUUAGAUUCUUAACAUCACCUCUCCACGACCUCAGAACUGAGCCCCCACCUCCUACAUUUGGGUUAACGACACCUCUCCACGACCUCAGAACUGAUCCCCCACCUCCUACAUUUGGGUUAACGACCCCUCUCCACGGCCUCAGAACUGAUCCCCCACCUCCUACAUUUGGGUUAACGACACCUCUCCACGACCUCAGAACUGAGCCCCCACCUCCUACAUUUGGGUUAACGACACCUCUCCACGGCCUCAGAACUGAGCCCCCACCUCCUACAUUUGGGUUAACGACACCUCUCCACGGCCUCAGAACUGAGCCCCCACCUCCUACAUUUGGGUUAACGACACCUCUCCACGACCUCAGAACUGAUCCCCCACCUCCUACAUUUGGGUUAACGACAUCUCUCCACGGCCUCAGAACUGAGCCCCCACCUCCUACAUUUGGGUUAACGACCCCUCUCCACGGCCUCAGAACUGAGCCCCCACCUCCUACAUUUGGGUUAACGACACCUCUCCACGGCCUCAGAACUGAGCCCCCACCUCCUACAUUUGGGUUAACGACACCUCUCCACGA
rnacentral:lncRNA from 1 species